GACGAACGCUGGCGGCGUGCCUAAUACAUGCAAGUCGAGCGAACCAAUAGGAGCUUGCUCCUGUUGGUUAGCGGCGGACGGGUGAGUAACACGUGGGCAACCUGCCUGUAAGACUGGGAUAACACCGGGAAACCGGUGCUAAUACCGGAUAAUCUUUUUCCUCUCAUGAGGAAAAACUGAAAGUCGGUUUCGGCUGACACUUACAGAUGGGCCCGCGGCGCAUUAGCUAGUUGGUGAGGUAACGGCUCACCAAGGCGACGAUGCGUAGCCGACCUGAGCGGAUGAUCGGCCACACUGGGACUGAGACACGGACCAGACGCCUACCGGAGGCAGCAGUAGGGAAUCUUCCACAAUGGACGAAAGUCUGAUGGAGCAACGCCGCGGGAGCGAUGAAGGCCUUCGGGUCGUACAGCUCUGUUGUUAGGGAAGAACAAGUACCGGAGUAACUGCCGGUGCCUUGACGGUACCUAACCAGAAAGCCACGGCUAACUACGUGCCAGCCGCCGCGGUAA
rnacentral:rRNA from 1 species